GGACCAAGGAGUCUAGCAUGUGCGCGAGUCAUUGGGACUCUAACGAAACCUAAAGGCGUAAUGAAAGUGAAGGCCCGCCUAGCGCGGGCCGAGGGAGGAUGGGUGUCCCCGAGGGGACGCCUCGCACUCCCAGGGCGUCUCGUUCUCAUCGCGAGAAGAGGCGCACCAAGAGCGUACACGCUGGGACCCGAAAGAUGGUGAACUAUGCCUGGUCAGGACGAAGUCAGGGGAAACCCUGAUGGAGGUCCGUAGCGAUUCUGACGUGCAAAUCGAUCGUCGGAACUGGGUAUAGGGGCGAAAGACUAAUCGAACCAUCUAGUAGCUGGUUCCCUCCGAAGUUUCCCUCAGGAUAGCUGGCGCUCGCUUCUCGCGAGUCUCAUUCGGUAAAGCGAAUGAUUAGAGGCAUUGGGGUCGAAACGGCCUCAACCUAUUCUCAAACUUUAAAUGGGUGAGAUCUCCGGCUUGCUUGAACUGUGAAGCCGCGAGAUAUCGGAUCAGAGUGCCAAGUGGGCCACUUUUGGUAAGCAGAACUGGCGCUGUGGGAUGAACCAAACGCUGAGUUAAAGCGCCUAAAUCGACGCUUAUGGGAUACCAUGAAAGGCGUUGGUAACUUAAGACAGCAGGACGGUGGCCAUGGAAGUCGGA
rnacentral:rRNA from 1 species